UAUAAACUACCACUGUAAUGAUCUUUUAAUCUCCAUUAAUAUGGUCAUUUCAGUAUCAUCAAUCUUACUCAUCAUUGCUUAUUUAUGAAAAUAGUUUUCAAUAAAUUGCUUGUCGAGCGCAGCUGGAUACGACCGCAGUGGUCCAACCCUGAACAGUUGGGGCAAAAAUGGACACAAUAUUCGCGCUUGAUACAGGUCUGAAUUUGGAUUGUAAUUCAAUAUUUGACACAUAAUAGGUUUCUGACACAGAAUAACUGUAGUCAAAGAACUUAGAAUUGGUUAUAUGAUUUGAAUUUAUAUUCAAUUUUUUGCUUUUGUGCAAUACACUAUGCUGUUGCGAAUUGACCUCCCCCCUCCCCUUUUAAAAAAAAAAAAAAAAUUUGAA